rnacentral:rRNA from 1 species
UCCUGGCUCAGGACGAACGCCGGCGGCGUGCCUAAUACAUGCAAGUCGAGCGCAUGAACCUAUCUGAUCCCUUCGGGGUGACGAUAGGGGAUUGAGCGGCGGACGGGUGAGUAACACGUGGGUAACCUACCUUCGAGAUCGGGAUAACCCCGGGAAACCGGGGCUAAUACCGAAUAAUCUGUUGGACCGCAUGGUCCGACAGUAAAAGGCGGCUUCUGCCGUCACUCGAAGAUGGACCCGCGGCGCAUUAGCUAGUUGGUAAGGUAACGGCUUACCAAGGCGACGAUGCGUAGCCGACCUGAGAGGGUGAUCGGCCACACUGGGACUGAGACACGGCCCAGACUCCUACGGGAGGCAGCAGUAGGGAAUCUUCCGCAAUGGACGAAAGUCUGACGGAGCAACGCCGCGUGAACGAUGAAGGUCUUCGGAUCGUAAAG